GCCAGGCACAGAGGUGCCUGCCUAUAGUCCCAGCUACUUGGGAGGCUGAGGCUGGAGGAUCUCUUGAGCCCAGGAGUUCUGAGCUGUAGUGCACUAUGCUGAUCGUGUGUCCGCACUAAUUUCGGCAUCAAUAUGGUGACCUCCCAGGAGCGGGGGACCACCAGGUUGCCUAAGGAGGGGUGACCUGGCCCAGGUUGGAAAUGGAGCAGGUCAAAACUCCCGUGCUGAUCAGUAGUGGGAUCGCGCCUGCACUCCAGCCUGGGCAGCAUAGCGAGACCCUGUCUCUU
ensembl:misc_RNA Metazoa_SRP Metazoan signal recognition particle RNA